ACGAACAUUCUAGAUUCCCUCAAGUAAACGUAUUCUUCACUGGACACUCAUGGGAAAGAACAUUUCAAAGUGCUAGAAUCUUCUGUUUCCACAAUUAGAGGCCGGAGGGAAGAACACACUUGCAUUUUGCCAAGACUCCUUCUGCUCCCUCAGGACCUUCUCUGGCCCGACUCAAGAGGAAUAUGGGAGAACAGAAAGGCACCGAGACUACAGUUCCUCCCACCUCGGGUCGGACUUCUCUUCAAAGGGGGCGAAAGCUCCACCUCACAUGAUUUAAGCACUAAAGAUGUAGCAGAGGAAAGAAAAAGAGCAGAGGGGAUAGCCUGAAGGUGGAAUGGACCACCCAAAAUGUAUGUGGGAUGAAAAUAAAACAAGCCUUGAGGGAGAUGGGCCACCCAGAACCAAGCCAGAAUGCAGCCUCUAAGAACGGGGUGAAGAUGGUGACCAAAGCCCUGAACUCCAAAUAGAGAAGAACACCCCCCGCCCCCGGCAAAGACAGCCCAGAGUGCACUUUUGUUUCUGAAUAUAAUGAGCAUGGAGGGAGUAACAGUAACAUGGCAUUGGCAUGCGUCACCAUGGUGCUGUGCGUGGUGGGCGUCAGCAUGCGUCACCAUGGCGCUGUGCGUGGCGGGCGUCAGCACGCGUCACCAUGGUGCUGUGCGUGGCGGGUGUCGGCCCUUGCCCUAUGGCGCUGUGUGCUCAGGCAAAGGAUGCUGGUGACAGAGACUACAAGGCAGAAGCCUCUGUACAGUGAUGACCCAAAGGGGAAAAAACAAGAUUGGAGCCAUCGUGCCUCUCUGCGAUGUUUUGGAAUCAUUCUGUAGUGUUUUGUUACUUUGAGAGGGUGUGCUGUUUGUGUUUAGAGAAAGGGUCUCAGGUAGCCCACAUAAUCCAUCGACUUGCUAUGUAGCUAGAGCUGGUAUUGACUUCCUGAUCCUUCUGCUGCUGCUUGAGUGUCGGGGUUACAUGCAUGUACCACUAUGCCUGGGGUAUGAGGAGGGUACACGGGGUCUUGUACGAGCAUCUCUGAGUGCAGCACUAUCCCCGCGUUGGUUUCGGGUAUAAAGAACUACGUAUUUAAUAAAAUAAAAUAAAAGUCUGAAGACCAUAAAACAAAACCCAAACUCUGGGAUAGCAGAGGGGGUUAGAGGAAAAGUACCUGAAUCUGUUAUAGGAGUUGGGACCCAAGGCUGUUGUCUGACUCCAGGGAUGGUUGGAAGAGGCACCAGCUGACAAUGAAGACAUGUUACAAGAAGACAGAGAGAUGUUCUCUGCUUGCUUACGAGUCUGUCACCCAGUCACACGUCUGAGAAUGAACCCUCCCAAGUCCCCUCUGACCUCCACACAAGCUCUGCAGCAUCCUCUCACCCCACCCCACCACCUACAAUCUAUAACUGUUUAGUACAUCAGGAGGCUGGGACGCCCUGUGAACGACCUUGGAAAGAGAAGGCAGGCGCUGGUGUUCCAGGUGGCUUUGCUCAGCUGAGCGGAGAUCUCAUCUCAGGAAGAGUGAAAAUUCAAACGGAGAGGCCGUGGAUCAAGAAAGGACUCCAGGGCUGGAGAGAUGGCUCAGCGGUUAAGAGCACUGACUGCUCUUCUAGAGGUCAUGAGUUCAAAUCCCAGCAACCACAUGGUGGCUCACAACCAUCUGUAAUGGGAUCCGAUGCCCUCUUCUGGUGUGUCUGAAGACAGUGACAGUGUACUCAUCAUAUAUAAAAUGAAUAAAUAAAAUGUUUAAAAAAAAAAAAAA